GACGAACGCUGGCGGCGUGCUUAACACAUGCAAGUCGAACGGCAAGGCCCUGCUUUUGUGGGGUGCUCGAGUGGCGAACGCGUGAGUAACACGAGAGCAACCUGCCCUUGACUUUGGGAUAACUUCAGGAAACUGGGGCUAAUACCGGACAGGAUCUCCUGCUGCAUGGUGGGCAUUGGAAAGUUUCGGCGGUUGGGGUUGGACUCGCGGCUUAUCAGCUUGUUGGUGGGGUAGUGGCUUACCAAGGCUUUGACGGGUAGCCGGCCUGAGAGGGUGACCGGCCACAUGGGGACUGAGAUACGGCCCAGACUGCUACGGGAGGCAGCAGUGGGGAAUAUUGCACAAUGAGCGGAAGCCUGAUGCAGCAACGCCGCGUGCGGGAUGACGGCCUUCGGGUUGUAAACCGCUUUCGCCUGUGACGAAGCGUGAGUGACGGUAAUGAGUAAAGAAGCACCGGCUAACUACGUG
rnacentral:rRNA from 1 species